AUUCAGUCUGGAGCCGCGGUCGCGCUGGUCGGAAAACUCGUAGGGCUUCCCAGAACGGGGCCGUCCGAUCGCGAGCUUCCGUGGCGCCAGACGCAUUUGUCUCUCGCUCGAAGGACGCCGCAGCCGGUGGGGCAGUGCAAGCGCGACGGCCUGAGGGGCGGAUGAUGGCAGGUGGCCGGUGGCGUGCCUCGUGCGCGUCGCCGGUUGUUAGCCGAUCCGUCAGUGGCUCGUCGCUCCACCGAGGUAUCACCAGGCCCUUCGGGGCUUCAACGUCUCCUCCCACGGAUGUCGGGACAGGACGUCGCAAGCGCUGGCAAUUUUCCCGUCGCACUCCUCCGGGGUGGGCGGGAGGACGGUCGGUGCCGCUGGCGACGACGGACCCGUCGGAGGCUGGAGGCUUGCGGCGAGUAGGUCGGUCACCCACCCGACCCGUCUUGAAACACGGACCAAGGAGUCUAACAUGUGCGCGAGUCAAUGGGUCUUGAACAGGCCCAGAGGCGCAAUGAAAGCAAAGGUCGGCUCCCGUCGACUCAGUUGGGAUCCCUCGCCCGAGAGGGUGGGGGCGCACCAACGACCCGUCCUGUGCAGCUCGCUGCUCGGGCGGAGUGUGAGCGUACACGUUGGGACCCGAAAGAUGGUGAACUAUGCCCGGACAGGACGAGGCCAGAGGAAACUCUGGUGGAGGUCCGCAGCGGUUCUGACGUGCAAAU
rnacentral:rRNA from 1 species